rnacentral:tmRNA from 1 species
UCUCUUUCCCCGCGCACGCUCAGUGCCUAUAUUCGCCUUGCCGUUCGCAAGACCGGCUAUGGCGAUAAACGGACUUCGGAAUAAGCCUUUCGGACCCGGGGGCGGUACCCGGCGCCU